GUUUUCUAAAUUUGGCUUUUGCCCUUUGCUAACUUAUGUAUUCAACAACUAGAUUUAAAAAAAAUGUUUUUACAGUGGUGUACUUAAGGAUGCUAUAGGUACAAAGUUUGAGCACUUAAAUACAGUGGUUAUGCAUAUACAGAAAUACAAGAAAGGCAAGUAAUGGCUAAUAUUAAAAUGAUUAUAAUGCAUACCUAUUCCUUUGCAAGUCUUGCAAAUUGUGGAAUAUUCAGGAAGGGUAAGAACGGGGAGAGUAUACAAAGACAACAGGAAGAAAGCGAUGAGCAAAAAAUUCCAUAUGCGCGGAAGAAAAUUUGAAGAGGAGCUUAUUUAUGAGGUUCUGAAUUUCACUUAUACAAACACAUCUAAAAAUGUCUCCAUCUCAAGUGAAUUAAAUGACAAAGAAAAUGGUCUGUCUAUUACAUUUGAUUCAUCCAUAAUGAAUGCCAACAUGGUCAAUUCUAGACACCAGGCCAAUAAAGUAAUAAGUAUGGACAGAUUAAGGCAGACACUGCUAUUUCCCCAACCCAGCACAAUAAAAGUUAUACUAUCCCCCUUAGGGUGCCUGUCAGACUGAGAGAGCUGACUCUGAAGAGUUCCCUGCCCAUUUCUAUAACAAUGAUUCAUCAUUCUUGCCACAACAGAUUGGAUCGGUGUUGGACAUCUGACUACAGGUCUUACGUGUGCUAAGGAAAAGCUGCUUCUCAGUUCUCACUUCAGCUGGCAAAGCAAAACUUCAGUAGAUACAGUUACUGCAGCAAAGAAGGAGCCACCUGCUUUCAUUUGAAGUUUGCUUUCAUAGGUGUGAGGGCAGCCUGCUACCUCAUGUCAGCAUCCAUUAUAAGGCACCAUGCAAAGUGACAUGACACAGAAUGACAGCUGCAGCCACCUCAACAUGGCAUCCGUGAAGCUGAUAUCGACGAGGCUGCCGUUACAUGUGCUCCACAUCCUAGCUGAGAAAAAAUGGAGAAAUGCUCAGAAACUAUGAAUGAAUGCAGAAAAACACCCUAACAGAAACACACAACUGAGUUGGCUUUACCAUUAAGGAUUUCAUUAAGAUCAAAGGAACCUGUUUCAUCCAUCUUAAACCUUCACCUGGCGAGGACGACAUCAUAAUCCUGAAGCUCUGCUGGAAUUCUAGCUUCCGAGGUUUGGCUGAGGAAUGCCGUUGGUGAGGCUCAUGCCUUCCCAUACGCACACACAAUGAAGAGAUUCACUCCAGUUCCAUAUAAAUACACCAUGUUCCAGUAGUUGGCUUACUAACUCAUUGCCCUGAACUUGACCUUUUCCUAGAGAAGGAGUGUCGGAAAUGUGGUUAGCUUCUGAGGCAAAUCCAUAAAAGCCAACCUAACACAUAUUGAACACAGAGUAGCUUUCCAAACCCAUGGAGUAUGGAUCCGCUUUCCCUGUGUCAAUAUUGUUUCCAUGGAAAAAUCCUUACGCAUUCCAAGUGGGGUGUUCUCUCUCCAUAUGGGGAAGCCCAAGCACAUCCCACUCUAGCAAGAGAAACAGAUAAGCACACCCCACUCUAGCAAGAGAAACAGAGGUAGCUCCCUGCCUUACGUCCUGUUUUUUCCCAUUCUGACGGGGAGGAACGUCUUUAGCAUACAGUGGCACUACAGCUAAUGUGGAUUGAGUCAGUCACUCAAGAAUUCAGGGCUAUGCCAAGGUUGAAGAUCAGAAACGGUCUUCCUAGAAGGUGGCUGAAGGGUUACAGACUGUCAUCAGAAAAUCCUUACAAACCAGAUUUAGCUGGUGUCUCAAUCACCACUGUCACUUAUACCAUGUGCCCCACUUCUCAGGGACUCAUAUUUCCUGUCACCACCUCUUGUGGCUUCUGAACAGCACCUCCAGCUUUCUCUUCUGCCUCUUCCUUACAGGAGUCCUCCUCUCUCUGGAACAAAGGUGCUGCCAUAUUCCUGGCGAUAGCCGUGGUGGAAUCAGAUGGAGAAUAAACCAUUUUCCUGGAAACAAUUCUACUUUGACUAAAUGAGAAACAAAACAUAAUUUUUCAUAUUAUUUCAACAGAAUAUUGCGUGCAAAAACUUCUAGUCAUUUUUAAUAGGCUUAGUGGAGUUAGCAAUUCUCUAAGUAAAACUUACAAAAGGACAUCUCUUUGAGGCAGAGAUUGGAGGCUCUGAAGAAAGGGCACUGGUGGGUAAGGGUUGAAAUUGGAAUCAUUACUGGCCCGUUUCUUUCUCCACUGUACCAGGUGAUCUGGAGCAAGUUCAAGGGCAUUGACAUAGGGUGGAAAACAAAGAGGGUCAAACUUUUAGGGGCAGCAAACGGAGGGGCAAGGAACACACAAAGGAGAAAAACCCAAAGCCAUAGCUGUGCAAUAGAAGCCAAUUUACUUGAGGUGCUACUACAAAUGUUCAUUUUUAAGAAUGCCAUUUUCUGCACCUAGCAUCAGACCGAGGAUAUGAGACUUGUUUAUGGAAUCCUCAAGAAAAGAGUGGAAGAAGCUGUUUAUUGAAAUCUCUUGUCUCACACUUGGCACCAGGACAUGCCAGGUUUAAAACAAUGUUUGCCUGAAGGUAUCCUUUUCUGAUCCAGCAUAGUUACUUACAUGUUGCCUGCUAGGUAUACUUCUCAACUGUUUUAACAUUAAUGUGUUGAUAAUAUUAAUAAUAAUAGAAGAAUUUGCAAUAACAACUGUCAUUUAUUACAGCAAUACAAUUUUUGAAAUAAAUUUUAAAUAGAUCAUUCUAAACACCACAGCCUAUGCAUGUGGAAACUGACCCUAAUAUAGCUUAGCCCUAUUAAGGAUUUUGCAAGGUAGCAUAACCAGUUAGUGGAAUAACUAGUAUAUGUGUCCAAUACUCCAGACUCAUGACCCCAAGCCCUCUGCCGCACGUCUUCUAAUCUUUCUAAAAGUAGCAGCAUUUAAAUUAUUUUUGUCAUUCAGGAAUGCUUAUUAAAUAAAUUUCAAUCACAUAUUUAAUAAAUGUAAAAAAUACCCAAAGCUUGAUUGUCGAAAGUGUUC
rnacentral:lncRNA from 1 species